CAGUUUUCCUCCAUCCGUCUUACGUGUGGUCGAGAGCCCCCACGCAUUGAUGCGUCGUGAAUAUCUCUUGUCCCAUCAACACUCCGUUUUCUGUCCGUGUGCGUGCGUUUACAUUUGUGGAAAUGACCCAUCAAUAGGCUGUAAGAAGGAGAAGAACAAAAGAAAUCAACGAGUGUAUGUGUGUACACGUAGCGUGUUUGUAUGCGCGCGGAAUCAAUCAAUAGACAUUUUGUUUAGUGUGGAAAGUAGAGCUUCUCUUGCGUUUGUGUGUGCGUGCGUGAGAGCGAGAGUGUGUGUGUGUGUAGUGGCCGAGUUUUCGAGUUUUGGGACAAAAAACACCACCACCGCCGAACCCCCUGACACAAUCGAAAAGGGUGUAAAGUGCAUCAACCAUCAAGCAGGUUCUUCCACACACAGUCAAUCAACCUUUUCCCGGGAUUAUCAUCAAUCGAAAAACGUGUCUCAUAACCCGUACAAUUCGUCGGACAUGCCGAUGCCCUCGGCAAAGGAGCAAACACUGAUGUGGCAGCAAAACUCGUACCUCGGCGACUCCGGCAUCCAUUCUGGUGCCGUUACCCAGGUGCCGUCGCUUAGCGGUAAGGAUGACGACAUGGAGGACGAUCCGCUGAUGUUCGACAUGGACCAGGGUUUCUCGCAGAAUUUUACGCAGGACCAGGUCGAUGAUAUGAACCAGCAACUGAGUCAGACGCGCUCACAGCGCGUCCGAGCUGCGAUGUUCCCGGAGACACUCGAGGAAGGCAUCGAGAUUCCGUCGACACAGUUCGACCCGCAGCAGCCCACCGCGGUGCAGCGGCUGGCCGAACCGUCCCAGAUGCUGAAGCACGCGGUCGUCAACCUGAUUAACUAUCAGGACGAUGCGGAUCUGGCGACCAGAGCCAUCCCCGAACUGAUCAAGCUGCUAAACGACGAGGACCAGGUGGUGGUUUCGCAGGCCGCCAUGAUGGUGCACCAACUGUCCAAAAAGGAAGCGUCCCGGCAUGCGAUAAUGAACAGUCCGCAGAUGGUGGCCGCUCUCGUCCGCGCGCUCUCCAACUCGAACGAUCUUGAGACAACCAAAGGUGCGGUCGGCACACUGCACAACUUGUCGCACCAUCGCCAGGGUCUGCUCGCGAUCUUCAAGUCGGGCGGAAUACCGGCACUGGUAAAGCUGUUGUCUUCGCCAGUCGAGUCGGUGUUAUUCUACGCAAUCACCACGCUGCACAACCUGCUGCUGCACCAGGAUGGCAGCAAGAUGGCGGUCCGUCUGGCUGGCGGACUGCAGAAGAUGGUUGCCCUGCUCCAGCGCAACAACGUCAAGUUUCUUGCCAUCGUGACGGACUGUCUACAGAUUCUGGCAUACGGCAACCAAGAGAGCAAGCUGAUCAUACUCGCGUCGACAGGUCCGAGCGAAUUGGUACGCAUCAUGCGCUCGUACGACUACGAGAAGCUGCUGUGGACGACGUCCCGCGUCCUGAAGGUGUUGUCGGUAUGCUCGAGCAACAAACCGGCCAUCGUGGAGGCAGGCGGCAUGCAGGCACUCGCAAUGCACCUGGGCAAUCCGUCCCAGCGCCUGGUCCAAAACUGUCUCUGGACGCUGCGCAAUCUAUCCGACGCGGCCACUAAGGUCGACGGACUGGAGACGCUGCUGUCAGGGUUGGUGACUGUCCUCGGUUCGUCCGACGUCAACGUGGUCACCUGUGCCGCCGGUAUCCUGUCGAACCUGACGUGUAACAAUCAACGCAACAAGGUAACCGUUUGCCAGGUGGGCGGUGUCGAGGCACUCGUCGGCACGAUCAUCAACGCCGGCGACCGGGAAGAAAUUACCGAGCCGGCCGUGUGUGCUCUGCGCCACUUGACUUCGCGUCAUCCGGAGUCCGAGUCGGCACAGAACGUUGUACGCAACGGCUACGGGCUGCCGGUGAUCGUAAAGCUGCUCAAUCCCCCGUCCCGCUGGCCGCUCAUUAAGGCGGUCAUCGGGCUGAUCCGCAAUCUAGCCCUUUGUCCGGCGAAUGCGGCACCAUUGCGCGAACACGGAGCGAUUCAUCUGCUGGUGCGACUGCUCUUCAAGGCGUUCCAAGAUACGCAACGGCAACGCUCAUCGGUUGCUUCGAAUGGAUCGCAGCCGCCGGGCGCGUACGCCGACGGUGUCCGCAUGGAGGAGAUCGUCGAGGGUACGGUCGGUGCACUUCACAUUCUCGCCAAGGAGGAGUAUAACCGACAGGUCAUCCGCUCGCAGAACGUUAUUCCGAUCUUCGUCCAGUUGCUGUUCUACAACGACAUCGAAAACAUUCAGCGUGUGGCCGCUGGUGUACUUUGCGAGCUGGCUGUCGACAAGGAGGUGGCCGAAAUGAUCGAGGCUGAGGGAGCUACUGCACCGCUUACCGAGUUGCUCAACUCGGCAAAUGAAGGUGUUGCCACAUACGCCGCAGCCGUACUGUUCAAGAUGAGCGAGGAUAAGUCGAUGGAUUACAAGAAGCGCUUCUCCAGCGAGCUGACCACCUUGCCCGUGUUUCGCGACGACAGCAUGUGGAACAACGGCGAACUCGGUAUUGGACCGGACCUGCAGGACAUCCUGUCCCCCGAGCAGGCAUACGAAGGUCUAUACGGACAAGGGCCGGCGAGCGUACACAGCUCGCACGGUGGCCGUGCGUUCCAGCAAGCUAAACCAGCCUAACAUAUAUCAUCACUAAAAAGAGCCUCCUAGUAGACAGCGAUCGAAAAUUCACAAAUAUACGAAAUCUAAUGAAAGCGUAAACAAAAACUCAUACCCUUGCGUGUAAUCAACAAAAUAGAGCACUAUUGAAACACUCUUUUACAGACCCCAACUUUCCCGUCCGUCGCUUGUUCGAUUUUAUGGCAGAUUGUGAGUUGUUGUCUAAAACAGAUCAGAAAAAAUCAGCAAUAAGUUCUAGUCACGUUAUAAGUUCUUAUCCCCAGUUUGGUGUCCUUUCUAUUUUGUACCUUCCAUUCCCUGUCGAGAUAAUUAUGAUACAUUGGCCGUUUUUUUCGAAUCUUGCACAUUUUUGCAUUGUUCCAGCAACCAAAAAAGCCUUCAGUGGAUAAGUUUUGUGUGUGGCGCGUUCUAUAAAGAAAAUAACAACCACUAACAACAAGGAAGCUAAGCAACAUCGCAAAACAAAUUAACUAGAUUAUUUUUAAUUUGUGUAAGAGUUAGCUUUAAAUUUGGGUUUUUUAUGUGUUUAAUGUGCGUAGUAUUGAAGUUAGCUUUGCUUUAACAGUUUAGGCUACUCCAACUAAUAGCGAAGAGAAAAUGAAAAAGAAAACUCUUUUAGAUGUAAAUCUUACAACACAGGUAUUGUAUCGCAACAACAAAAAACUGUCUUCUUCGGAUACAGUAGCAAUACAAAACGAUGAAGAGUUCCUUUUGUCUAUUAAGCUACUAUAUUUUAUAGACAAAGGCGUGUGUAUGGAUGUAUGGUCAUAUUUCAUCUUACGAUUGAUUAACAGCAGCCUGCAUAAUGUUUAGAGCAGCAGCUAGACACAAAACGAAGAAGAAAUGAAGUAAUUACUUAAGGUAAUUACAAUCAGAGAUCAGAAAUGUCGCUAAUAAGGUUUGAACAAAAUGGCGCGUAUACGCAAUGUGCAAUAUUUGAUUCCGUUCAUCCUGUUUUUUGUUUUUUUUUUUGUUAAAUUCACACCAACAUUUUCCUUUCCGCGACCUCCAUUCUACCUAGCUUCCUUUUCACGACCAUUGUCUUCGAAUAGUGUUUUUGUUGUGCAUUUGAAAAAAAAGAUCGACAGCGAUACACACUGCCUGCAAAACAUCGGAUCGUGCUUUGGGAUCGACAACAUCGACAACGAACCACAAAGACCGACACUAUCACAGCUCUUGUUCUUCAGUUUGUGAUUACGAUUAACAUCUGCCCCUUGGAUACGACACCCUUCCAAUAGACUCAAUGCAAGGUCUGGAGAUUGGAGGAGGUGGUGGUAGCAGCAACGGUGGUGCGACUGGUAACGGCGGCAUGGGCGGCCAGCAGCAGCAG